GACGAACGCUGGCGGCGUGCUUAACACAUGCAAGUCGAACGGAAAGGCCCUGCUUUUGUGGGGUGCUCGAGUGGCGAACGGGUGAGUAACACGUGAGUAACCUGCCCUUGACUUUGGGAUAACUUCAGGAAACUGGGGCUAAUACCGGAUAGGAGCUCCUGCUGCAUGGUGGGGGUUGGAAAGUUUCGGCGGUUGGGGAUGGACUCGCGGCUUAUCAGCUUGUUGGUGGGGUAGUGGCUUACCAAGGCUUUGACGGGUAGCCGGCCUGAGAGGGUGACCGGCCACAUUGGGACUGAGAUACGGCCCAGACUCAUACGGGAGGCAGCAGUGGGGAAUAUUGCACAAUGGGCGGAAGCCGGAUGCAGCAACGCCGCGUGCGGGAUGACGGCCUUCGGGUUGUAAACCGCUUUCGCAUGUGACGAAGCGUGAGUGACGGUAAUGGGUAAAGAAGCACCGGCUAACUACGUG
rnacentral:rRNA from 1 species